GAUGAACGCUGGCGGCGUGCCUAAUACAUGCAAGUCGAGCGAACAGACGAGGAGCUUGCUCCUCUGACGUUAGCGGCGGACGGGUGAGUAACACGUGGAUAACCUACCUAUAAGACUGGGAUAACUUCGGGAAACCGGAGCUAAUACCGGAUAAUAUAUUGAACCGCAUGGUUCAAUAGUGAAAGACGGUUUUGCUGUCACUUAUAGAUGGAUCCGCGCCGCAUUAGCUAGUUGGUAAGGUAACGGCUUACCAAGGCAACGAUGCGUAGCCGACCUGAGAGGGGGAUCGGCCACACUGGAACUGAGACACGGUCCAGACUCCUACGGGAGGCAGCAGUAGGGAAUCUUCCGCAAUGGGCGAAAGCUUGACGGAGCAACGCCGCGUGAGUGAUGAAGGUCUUCGGAUCGUAAAACGCUGUUAUUAGGGAAGAACAAAUGUGUAAGUAACUAUGCACGUCUUGACGGUACCUAAUCAGAAAGCCACGGCUAACUACGU
rnacentral:rRNA from 1 species